rnacentral:rRNA from 1 species
CGGAGGGUGCAAGCGUUAUCCGGAUUUAUUGGGUUUAAAGGGUCCGUAGGCGGACCCGUAAGUCAGUGGUGAAAUCUCAUAGCUCAAACUAUGAAACUGCCAUUGAUACUGCGGGUCUUGAGUAAAUUUGAAGUGGCUGGAAUAAGUAGUGUAGCGGUGAAAUGCAUAGAUAUUACUUAGAACACCAAUUGCGAAGGCAGGUCACUAAGAUUUAACUGACGCUGAGGGGACGAAAAGCGUGGGUAGCGAACAGGAUU